UUUAGCUCCUCUUAUUUAUCAUCCUACGUCGGUUCCCCCUUCCAUUUUCGUCUUUGGUUGAGUUUAUCACAUCGCGGAAACUUUCCAUUUUUCUUUGAUCUUUGUGUUUAUCUUCGAAAACUUCACAUUUAUCCUCUUAACUUGACAUUUAUCUUCUUCUGGUAAUAAAUGAUAAACCGUCGUAACGCUUGGGCUUGAUUCCGCAUAAAAUCAUAAGUGGGCUCUUUGUCGUGUCCUGGGCUUUUCCGGGCCAUUUUCCGACUUAAGGUUUUUACGAUUUCAUAAAAAGAGUGCUUUCGAAACAACGUCAAUUCCGAAGAACAUUCAAAUUCCUCGUAUAGGCAAUUCUAGGUGUUUAGCUAACCGUUAUCACCCUAUACGAUCAAUCCGAAUGUUAUUUGAGAAAACGAGUUCUUG
rnacentral:lncRNA from 1 species